GCCUGACGGGCUCAGUCCGUAGAGCAUGUGACUUUUGAUCUUGGGGUUGUGAGUUCAAGCCCCACAUUGGGCA
rnacentral:tRNA from 1 species